rnacentral:rRNA from 1 species
GACAGAGGGUGCAAACGUUGUUCGGAAUCACUGGGCAUAAAGCGCACGUAGGCGGUCCGUUAAGUCAGAUGUGAAAGCCCCCGGCUCAACCGGGGAACGGCAUCUGAUACUGGCGGGCUCGAGGAUGGCAGGGGUGAGCGGAACUCCAGGUGGAGCGGUGAAAUGCGUAGAUAUCUGGAGGAACACCGGUGGCGAAAGCGGCUCACUGGACCAUAUCUGACGCUGAGGUGCGAAAGCUAGGGUAGCAAACGGG